GGACUGAUAGCUCACCGGUAAAGCAUCGCAUUGCGAAGCAGAAGUGACUAUUACGGCGCAGGUUCGAUCCCCGCCUCAUACCA